CGAUAUUGCCUGAGUGGUUAAUGCGAUGGCGUUUGAAGCGAAUGAUACUGGGUUCGAGUCCCAGAGUGAA
rnacentral:tRNA from 1 species